UAUUGCUUAAAGUUAUAUAUAUCGAAGUAUAUUCUUCUCUACUUUGCAUCUUAUUGUUCAAGUUUCCCUCUGAAAAGUAUAUCCUUCUCUAAACCAACUCCGUUGGACACGGGUCACACGGCACUAUCUCCGCUCCAUUCCCAAAAGUACUUGUAGGUCUUCGUUGAUGGUCGAGGUUCUCAUCGCCGCUCCCAAUGCCGCGUAGGCUGCCGCUGCCGCUGCCUCUAUGAUCGUCUUUCCUCCUUCCCGCCUACUACGGACCAUGUUCACCCGGAGGGUCUCGCGAGAGUGGAGGCCAGCGGCGUCGACGCCCGUCUUCCUCAACGUCUACGACCUCUCCCCCAUCAACGGCUACGCCUACUGGCUCGGCCUUGGCGCGUAUCACUCCGGCGUCCAAGUGCACGGGGUGGAGUACGCCUAUGGGGCACACGAGCACGCCGCGACAGGGAUCUUUGAGGGGGAGCCGCGCCGUUGCCCGGGGUUCGUUUUCCGGAAGGCGAUCCUCAUCGGGCGCACCGAUAUGGGGCCGCGCGAGGUGCGGGCGCUCGUGGAGGACAUGGCAGCGGAAUACUCCGGCAGCGCCUACAACCUAAUCUCCAAGAAUUGCAACCACUUCUGUGACGACGCCUGUUUCCGCCUCACCGGCAAAUCCAUCCCCAAGUGGGUCAACCGUCUAGCCAAAAUAGGUUCUCGACGUCGUCCCGUUUCCCUUUCCCCUCAACCCAGCGAUUUUCUUUAUUUUUUUUUUGAUCUCCCCGUUCGUUGUCAAUGGAAUGAUUUUUCCGCACUAGGGUUCCUAUGCAAGUGCGUGCUUCCCACCAGAGUGGCGGAGGUGCGGAGGCGCGGGGCGUACGAUGAGCAUGGCGUCCUGCAAGCCGACAAGUGGCGACCGAGGAGCAACUCCGCCAGAUUCCCUCCGGCGAUCACCGCGACGCCCCGCAGCAACAUAUCGCAGCCUACGGUCACCAUCUCCUCCCUAUCGGAGGGGCGAAGGAAGCUCAGGCGCUCCGCCUCGCUGUCCUCCGCCGUAGGUGAAAGUUCGUCGUUAGCCGCGUAAACGCCGGCGGCGGCGAUUUUUUCAUCUUCGUCCUCGGGUCAACCCUUCUUGGGCCACCAGAAGGAACUGGCGCCAUGAAAUGCUACUACUGCCCGUCAAAGUGUAAACACUAUGGUACGGUUGUUGAACGCUCGUUGUCUCCA